rnacentral:rRNA from 1 species
AUGAACAUACUGGACCACCUGAAGGCCGACAAAUUUCCAGACAAGUAUAUCCUCAAACGGUACACAAAGACUGCAAGAUCACAACCAACAUUCGAUACAUGGGACUACAACAUGUCUGCAUCGGAUGGCAGCUCAAGACUAUCGAAGCAAGACAUCUUGCUGCAGCUAAAUUUUAUGGUUAACAAGAAAGCGAUGAGAUGUGACCAGCAAUAUGACAGAGCCUUCUAUGUUCUCAAGAGGCUAGUGGAAGAGAUGCAAUACAUUCAGCAAAUCGAGCGGAUGCUGACCAAAGGAUGGCUGAAGAGGAUGCUGAAAUUGAAGAUGACCUUCAUUAUUAUGCAGCUGAAAUGCUCCAGGCCGCUGCUCAAGCCAACCAAUCCAAGCAGGGUGUUGACCAAUUAA